GCGUUGAAGUCCCUUUUGCUGCUCCCGGGACACUUUGCUUUGUGGCUUGUGCAAUCCCCACGCCGAAGGGACCGUUAGGCCCGCAUUUGAGAGCGGCCAGGAUGCGGGAGGCACGAGGCCGUUGCAAUGCAGGCCUCUGGCCGUCAGCACCGCAGGAGCGUGGUGAGGGCGAGCACAGGCUACUACGGCCGCCGCUGGCCGUCAGCACCGCAAGAGUAUGGUGAGGGCGAGCACAGGCUACUACGGCCGCCGCUGGCCGUCAGCACCGCAGGAGCGUGGUGAGAGCGAGCACAGGCUACUAUGGCCGCCGCUGGCCGUCAGCACCGCAGGAGCAUGGUGAGGGCGAGCACAGGCUGCCACGGCCGUGUGAAGCCGAUCCCGGGUUAGGCGGCGCCACGCCGAGGACCGCUACUGUGUGAUCCGAUGGUAACCUGAGUUUAUUGCCGCUGGGUGAUGGAAGACCCGUUAAGGUAUUGUUUAAAAGCAAAAUAAAAGUGGUUGAGAUCUUCCAGGCACCUUACAAGUGAUCUUCACAUUUAAGUUUUGGAAAUGAGUACUUUUAAUAUUAAUAUGGCACUAUACGGUCCUGACCUUUAUUUUAUAUAAAGUCAUUCAUAAGCCAAAUAAAGCUUGGUUGAUGGGUAA